AUUGAACGCUGGCGGCAGGCUUAACACAUGCAAGUCGAACGAGUGGCGGACGGGUGAGUAAUGUCUGGGAAACUGCCUGAUGGAGGGGGAUAACUACUGGAAACGGUAGCUAAUACCGCAUACCAUCGGAUGUUCCCAGAUGGGAUUAGCUAGUAGGUGGGGUAAAGGCUCCCCUAGGCGACGAUCCCUAGCUGGUCUGAGAGGAUGACUAGCAAUACUGGAACUGAUACACUGUCCAGACUCGUACGUGAGGCAGCAGUGGGGAAUAUUGCACAAUGGGCGCAAGCCGAAUGCAGCCAUGCCGCGUGUAUGAAGAAGGCCUUCGGGUUGUAAAGUACUUUCAGCGGAGAGGCUUUACCCGCAGAAGAAGCACCGGCUAACUCCGUGCCAGCAGCCGCGGUAAUUC
rnacentral:rRNA from 1 species